rnacentral:rRNA from 1 species
GAUCUGGCUCAGGACGAACGCUGGCGGCGUGCUUAACACAUGCAAGUCGAACGGAGCACCCUUGAUUGAGGUUUCGGCCAAAUGAUAGGAAUGCUUAGUGGCGGACUGGUGAGUAACGCGUGAGGAACCUGCCUUUCAGAGGGGGACAACAGUUGGAAACGACUGCUAAUACCGCAUGACGCAUUUUGAUCGCAUGGUCGAAAUGCCAAAGAUUUAUCGCUGAAAGAUGG